GGAAGCUUGGCAGAGUGGUCGAUUGCACCGGUAUUGAAAACCGGCAAACCGAAAGGUUUCUAGGGUUCGAAUCCCUAAGCUUCCGCCA
rnacentral:tRNA from 1 species